rnacentral:lncRNA from 1 species
UUUGCAGCUCCUGAGAGAUAACCGUAACGGCAUAAGAGCUCGUUAUCUAUAGAAAAAGAAGAAAGAAAGAAAAAAAGGGUCGCUCUGAAAGGAGAUAGUCGAAAAGAUAAUAUUUUGGAAGAAACUUGAUGAUUGCAGUCUGACCGUUUAAUAACAUGUUUCCUGCGUCCAAUCCAGACACAAAGGACAGAGAAGUAACGAUGAAAAGGUUCUAAU